rnacentral:rRNA from 1 species
UACGUAGGGGGGCGAGCGUUGUCCGGAAUCAUUGGGCGUAAAGCGCGUGUAGGCGGUUCGGUAAGUCUGCUGUGAAAGUCCAGGGCUCAACCCUGGGAUGCCGGUGGAUACUGUCGGACUAGAGUACGGAAGAGGCGAGUGGAAUUCCCGGUGUAGCGGUGAAAUGCGCAGAUAUCGGGAGGAACACCAAUUGCGAAGGCAGCUCGCUGGGCCGUAACUGACGCUGAGGAGCGAAAGCGUGGGGAGCGAACAGG